CCCACUGUCAAACAUGGUGGUGGCAGCAUCAUGGUUUGGGCCUGCUUUUCUUCAGCAGGGACAGGGAAGAUGGUUAAAAUUGAUGGGAAGAUGGAUGGAGCCAAAUACAGGACCAUUCUGGAAGAAAACCUGAUGGAGUCUGCAAAGACCUGAGACUGGGACGGAGAUUUGUCUUCCAACAAGACAAUGAUCCAAAACAUAAAGCAAAAUCUACAAUGGAAUGGUUCAAAAAUAAACAUAUCCAGGUGUUAGAAUGGCCAUGUCAAAGUCCAGACCUGAAUCCAAUCGAGAAUCUGUGGAAAGAACUGAAAACUGCUGUUCAAAUGCUCUCCAUCCAACCUCACUGAGCUCGAGCUGUUUUGCAAGGAGGAAUGGGAAAAAUUUCAAUCUCUCGAUGUGCAAAACUGAUAGAGACAUACCCCAAGCGACUUACAGCUGUAAUCGCAGCAAAAGGUGGCGCUACAAAGUAUUAACUUAAGGGGGCUGAAUAAUUUUGCACGCCCAAUUUUUCAGUUUUUGAUUUGUUAAAAAAGUUUGAAAUAUCCAAUAAAUGUCGUUCCACUUCAUGAUUGUGUCCCACUUGUUGUUGAUUCUUCACAAUAUCUUUAUGUUUGAAGCCUGAAAUUGCAAAAGGUCGCAAAGUUCAAGGGGGCCGAAUACUUUCGCAAGGCACUGUAAAUACCUCUUCCCCCCUUUUUCCUCUCUCUACCCUAGUGAGGUUACAUUUGCAAAACCCUUGGUUAACAUAGAGAUUCUGGAAACAUCAGAAGGUGGGGGGAAAUUAACUAUAUUCUGGUAAUCCGAACAAUUGAACAUAUGCGGUGGUAUUUAAUGAAUAUGAUGUCAGUUCGGUUGUCAUCUGAGACAUUCUCAUCAAUGAUAAGAUGACAUAAACUCUAUGGGGAAAGUCUACACAUCAGAGUUAUCGGAUUCACAUGGAAUUGUUGUUCAAUUUAAAUGUUUGAAUAUUAAAUUAUUUGUGAUGGGAUGAAAUUUGAUUUUAGCUUCUAAAAUUAGAGAUUUGGAUUUUCACAAGAUAGGGCUGCUCACUCAGUGGCCCGCCCUGUGAAGGGACAUGGGCUAUAAAACUUUUCAAACACACCCUCCUCUCCCUUCCUAUAUAAUCCCUUGACGACAAUAGAACUUUCUGUUCCGGGGAUGUAGGACGAUGGUCCUAUGUCAGAAUGGUUCAGAUAAUAACAACAGAACGAAGCCGACAUCAGCGUGAGCUUUUGUUGCGAAUGGUAUGAACUUUGAACUCUUAUUCACUACAGAAGUGAUACCUCCUAGCCGUUGAGUUAGCAGGUUAGGAAGGAACAGACAGAGUAUCCCGUCUACCACACAACGACGUUACUACAACGUAUCCAAUUGACCACCAGAGACAUUCUUCAAAGGACUUGGUUGGGCAACACGGCCUUCCAUCUACCACCAACCUACCGAAGCGCAGCUCAGACGCCUAUCGUUUCCCAGCCUCUCUUUCGUCACCCUCUUGGUUUUUGGCCUGUCCUGACCCUGUACCUGCCCGCCUGACCUCUCUGCCUGACACUGAGCCUGCCUGCCGUCCUGUACCUUUGCUCCACCUCUGGAUUACUGAACUCUGCCUGACCCUGAGACCGCCUGCUGUCCUGUACCUUUGCUCCACCUCUGGAUUACUGAACUCUGCCUGACCCUGAGACUGCCUGCUGUCCGGUACCUUUGCCUUACCCUGGAUUUUCGACCCCUGCCUGCCUUGACCUGUCUUUGCCUGUCCCUGUUGCCACAAUAAACAUUGUUACUUCGACAGUCUGUAUCUGGGUCUUACCUUGAUUCCUGAUAGUACGAACUGGCCAUGACUGACCCAGCAGACUUGGACCAGCUACGCUGCGCUAUCUCCUCCCAAGGAGCCACCAUUGGUA
ensembl:lncRNA